UACGAAGGGGGCGAGCGUUGUUCGGAAUUACUGGGCGUAAAGCGCGCGUAGGCGGCUCUGCAAGCCGGAUGUGAAAUCCCCGGGCUCAACCUGGGAACUGCAUUCGGGACUGCAUUGCUAGAGUAUGGGAGAGGGAAGUGGAAUUUCAGGUGUAGCGGUGAAAUGCAUAGAUAUCUGAAGGAACAUCAGUGGCGAAAGCGACUUCCUGGACCAAUACUGACGCUCAUGUGCGAAAGCGUGGGGAGCAAACAGG
rnacentral:rRNA from 1 species